UGUUACUUUUUACUAGGUUUCCUUGGAGUAUUAAUGUUAAUGAAAUUUAACGGAUUUGGCGGCAAGAUAGCCCGUUUAGAGGAACCUGCCCUGUGAACGAUGAGCCACGAACAACUUUACUUUUUUUGGUAAUCAGUUUGUAUACCGCUGUUGUCAGUCAGUCUCGCUAGGGAACUUUCGAUAAUGGAAAGGUCAUUGACUUCAAGUAAAGGUGCAGCUUAUAAAAAAGAGAGAGGUGGGUUACAAUUUAAAUGAUAAAUGACGGAUAACAAGAUGAAAAAUUGUUUGAAGGUGGAUUUAAUUGUAAAAUUUUGGAAAGUUUGAUACGAGCACUAACUUGUGUACAUAC
rnacentral:rRNA from 1 species